GACGGAGGGCGCAAGCGUUGUUCGGAAUCACUGGGCGUAAAGCGCGCGCAGGCGGAUCUGGAAGUCGGAAGUGAAAGUCCGGGGCUCAACUCCGGAACCGCUCCCGAUACUCCAGGUCUAGGGACCGGUAGAGGCCGGUGGAAUUCCCGGUGUAGCGGUGGAAUGCGUAGAUAUCGGGAAGAACACCCGUGGCGAAGGCGGCCGGCUGGGCCGGAUCCGACGCUCAGGCGCGAAAGCGUGGGGAGCAAACAGG
rnacentral:misc_RNA from 1 species